UACUCCCCCCAAAGUCUGGUAUAGCUCGUCGAAAGACGGGGUAAUCCCGGAUGGUCCCGAAAGGGUAAAGAUUUAUCGCUUUGGGAGAGGCCUGCGUAAUAUCAGCUUGUUGGUAAGGUAAUGGCUUACCAAGGCUACGACGUUUAGGGGAGCUGAGAGGCUGACCCCCACCGAUGGGACUGAGACACGGCCCAUACUCCUACGGGAGGCCGCAGUCGAGAAUCUUCCGCAAUGGACGAAAGUCUGACGGAGCGACGCCGCGUGGUA
rnacentral:rRNA from 1 species